UACCUCAGUAACGGCGAGUGAAGCGGUAACAGCUCAAAUUUGAAAUCUGGCUCUUUCAGGGUCCGAGUUGUAAUUUGUAGAAGAUGCUUUGGGCAUUGCUCCGGUCUAAGUUCCUUGGAACAGGACGUCAUAGAGGGUGAGAAUCCCGUAUGUGACCGGCUGCAUUUGUCCGUGUAAAGCUCUUUCGACGAGUCGAGUUGUUUGGGAAUGCAGCUCAAAAUGGGUGGUAUAUUUCAUCUAAAGCUAAAUAUUGGCCAGAGACCGAUAGCGCACAAGUAGAGUGAUCGAAAGAUGAAAAGCACUUUGGAAAGAGAGUUAAACAGUACGUGAAAUUGUUGAAAGGGAAGCGCUUGCAACCAGACUUGCGGGUCGUUGAUCAUCCGGGGUUCUCCCCGGUGCACUCGGCGGCCCUCAGGCCAGCAUCGGUUUGAGUGGUGGGAUAAAGGCCUUGGGAAUGUAGCUCCUCUCGGGGAGUGUUAUAGCCCAAGGUGCAAUGCCGCCUACUCGGACCGAGGACCGCGCUUCGGCUAGGAUGCUGGCGUAAUGGUUGUAAGCGACCCGUCUUGAAACACGGACC
rnacentral:rRNA from 1 species